UUUUUUUUUUCUUUCUUUCUUUUUAGGGUUACAACCUUGUCAUAUGGAAGUUCCCUGGCUAGGGGUUGAACUGGAGCUACAGAUGUCAGCCCACGCCACAGCCACAGCAACACCAGGUCCGAGCUGCAUCUUUGACCUACACCACAGCUCACAGCAAUGCCUGAUCCUUGAACCAACGAGCGAGGCCAGAGAUUGAACCCGCAUCCUCAUGAAUACUAGCCAGAUUCACUUCUGCUGCACCACAGUGGGAACUCCUCCUCUGGUAAUCUUUUGUAAAAGCAGAGGAACGGAAUUCCGGGCUGGAGGAACAGCAUGUGCAGAAUGCUUACAGAACAAGAGUUUAUUUAUUCAAUAAAUGUGUAUUGACCAUUUGCCUAUAAUGACCAGACAUUGAUUCAGGUGCCGGGCCUGACAGGGUCCCUGGCCUUCUGGAGCUCAUGCUAAUGGAGGUGACACAAGCAAGUAAACCAAAAGAAUUUCAGCAAUUGAGUGAAGUUUCCAUAAUGAAACCCUUAGGGCAAGUGACAGAGAAUGUGGCCCUGGACAGAAGAUCCAGGGAGGGGGGAGCAUGCAGGAAGCUUUUAGGAAGAGGCUCAGACCACAAGACGGGAAGAGCAUUCCAGGACAAGGGAACUGCCAGGUGGUCACGCCAGAGCUCAGAAUGAGGGGCGAGCAGACAUGAUGCCAUGGAGAGGGGUUUGAGUACUUCUAGUUGGGGACCACACCCUCUGAUCUGCAGUGGACCCAUCCCCUGACCUUCCAGAGACUGCCUGGCACCCUGGAGGAAACCCUGCCCUUCCUGGUGGCUGCAACAAGGAGAUGGGGAACCUCUGCUUCCCUUUCUUUCAAAGAAGCACAAAGGGAGUGUAGACAGGGAGGAGCAACCCCCCUUAUCACCCCAUCCUCAUCUCAGGAAAUGGCCCUCCACCUUCCCAGGACCUCAGACCAGGACCAAUGAGUGGACCUUGACUCUGCUCUGCCCCCAUGUCCCAGCAAGUGCAGCUGGCCCUGUUGCCAAAACGGAUGCCAAUUUUUUUUUUUUUGGCUGUCCCACAGCAUAUGGAGUUCCCGGGCCAGGGAUCAGAUCUGAGCUGCAGUUUCUACAUAAGCUGCAGCUGUGGCAAUGCCAGAUCCUUAACCCAGUGUGCUGGUGGUGUCCCAUUGCUUCCAAGAUACCACGGAUCCCAAUCCCACUGCAUCACAGCAGGAACUCCUGGAUGCCAAAUGUGACCACACCUCCAGGGUCACUGCCCAUUCCAGGCUCCAUCACUGCUCCCCUGCGCUGGAGCCGUCACCUCCUCUCCAGUCUCCUGGCUCCUACCCUGUCCUCCUUCCUAUCACCUUCCUGGCUAUAGCUCUGCUGUCUCAGGAGGCUGCCUGUAAACACCCAAGUCAGGGUGCGUCCCUCCUCUGCCCAGAACCCUCCACAGCCACCUCAUUUAGAGGAAAGGUCAAAGUUCUCCUUAGACCAAGCUCUACCCCAUCCCCUCUUUACUGCAACUCAGCAACACUACCCUCAUGACUGUUCCCCCCAUCCAUGGCAUGCGGAAGUUCCCUGGAAAGAGAUGCAACUCUGACCACAGCAGUAACCAGAGAUACAGCAGUGACAAUUCCAUAUCCUUAACCCAUUGAGCCACCAGGGAACUCUUUUUUUUGUUUUUUUGCUCUUUUUAGAGCCACACCUGCAGCAUAUGGAAGUUCCUAAGCUAAGGGUCGAAUUGGAGCUGCAGCUGCCAUCCUACACCAUAGCCACAGCCAUGACAGUUCUGAGCCAAAUUUCCACCUUACACUGCAGCUCACGACAACGUUGGAUCCUUACCCCACUGAACGAGGCCAGGGAUCAAACCUGAAACCACCUGAGCCAUAGCAAGAACUCCAAGGAACUCCCUUUUUAAAAAAUUAUUUUCUUUGGAGUUCCCGUCGUGGCUCAGUGGUUAACGAAUCCGACUAGAAACCACGAGGUUUCGGGUUCGAUCUCUGGCCUUGCUCAGUGGGUAAAAGAUCUGGCAUUGCCGUGAGCUGUAGUGUAGGUCACAGACGCAGCUUGGAUCCCGUGUUGCUGUGGCUGUGGUGUAGGCUGGUGGCUACAGCUCUGAUUAGACCUCUAGUCUGGGAACCUCCAUAUGCCGCAGGAGCGGCCCUAAAAAAGGCGAAAAGACAAACAAACAACAACAACAAAAAAUAUUUUCUUUAAUAUAUGUGCUGCCCCAUUGAGCUCCUGGCUGUUCCUUAAGGCAGCUUCUAUCUCAGAGCCUUUGCACAUUCAGUGCUCUCUGCCUGUUAACUGCCCUUCCUUGCUAUUGUCAGGACUCUUCUCACCACCCUCUGGUCUUAGCUCAAAUGUCACCAUCUCAGUCUUUCACUGAAUUGUCUAUUUAAGGUUUAUUAGUUCUCAUGGCUCAGAGGGUUUAAGAUCCAGCGUUGUCACUGCUGUGACUCUGUUUACAGCUGUGGUGCAGGUUCAAUCCCUAGCCCAGGAAAUUCUGCAUGCUGCUGUCAUGGCCAAAAAAGGAAUGAUAGAAUAAAAGAAGGAAGACCCUCACACUGAGGUAUAUGGAAUGACAGGCUGACGUGGACCUGCCAUAUAGCGCAGAGAACUCUACCCAGUAGUCUGUGAUAAUCUAUGUGGGAAAAGAAUCUGAAAGAGAAUGGAUAGUGUAUAUGUAUGACUGAGUCAUUUUGUCAUACAGAAGAAAUUAUCACAACCUUGUAAAUCAACUAUACUUCAAUAAAACUUAAAGAAAAAAGGUUUAUUAGGAGUUCCCGGGUGGCCUAGAAGUUGAGGAUCUGUCAUUGGCACUGCUGUGGCUCUGGGCACUGCUGUGGUGCAGGUUUGAUUCUUGGCCUGGGAACUUCCACAUGCCAUGGAUGAGCCAAAAAAUAUACAUAAAUUGGAGUCCUACAGUGGCUCAGUGGGUUAAGAACCUGACACUGUUUCUGUGAGGCCUUGCUCAGUGCUUUAAGUUUCUGGAUUUGCUCCAAGUCGCUGCACAGGUUGCAGAUGUGGCUCAAACCUGGUGUUGCUUCAUUGUACAACUACGAAAGUCAUAAAUUCAUUGAGUAAUUAAAAAAAUGGAAGGGGUGGGAGAAAGGAUAAUUUAAUACGUGGGAUUGAUUACAAAUGUGUUGGCAGAGUUGGAGAAACAAAAGAAGAAAAGUCCAUUAAUAAAGAUCAGUAACUGCAAGAAGAGACCACCAUCCCCAGAGCUGCUGGGGAAAAGUGAUGUUACUGAGUCGAGGAGCACAUACUCUGCCACCUCCUUUCUACCUUCUCAUAUCCUGUUAAUGCACCACAAUGGCAAAAACCUAUUGGACCACAGCUGGAAAGAGAGCCUGGGAAAUUGUGUUUUCAGGCUUCCAGUUCUAUUUUACAGGAGUGAGAAUAAGAGGGCUGAUAUGGAAUGUUUCAAUAGAUGAUAGCUGGCAUAUACCUCUUCUACUAGCAUUCUUAAUCACCUUACCCUCCUUUUAAAAAAUUCGUACCAUCGGAGUUCCUGUUGUGGCUCAGUGGUUAACGAAUCCGACUAGGAACCAUGAGGUUGUGGGUUCGAUCCCUGGCCUUGCUCAGUGGGUUAAGGAUCUGGCGUUGCCAUGCACUGUGGUGUAGGUCGCAGACACGGCUCGGAUCUGUUGUUUCUGUGGCUCUGGUGAAGGCUGGCGGCUACAGCUUCAAUUAGACCCCUAGCCUGGGAACCUCCAUAUGCCACGAGUGCAGCCCUAGAAAAGACAAAAAGACAAAAAAAAAAAAUCAUACCAUGUAUACCACUAUUUGCUUAUUUAUUGACUAUCUCUCUGCCAUUCCCAGCCAUGUCAGAAUAGAAAUUCUGUAAGGCAGGGGCUUUGUCUGUCUUGCUUGUUGCUACACCUCCAGUAGUCAGAAUAGUGCCUGGCAUCAGUAUGGUAGCCUACGAAGAAGGGAGGGAUUGUGAGAGUGAACUGCGUCAGUAGAGAGGAGUAUUUAAUUACUGAUAACGUUUAGAAUUGCCAGUGCAUGGUAAUAAUAAAGAAAAUAAUAACUUGAUGAAUUGUAGUUAGUUUUAUGACUGAUUUCUAAUUUUCUGCAGACAGUGCAUUCUUUUAUGUGAGGGUAAAGGAUUAACAAAACCCUGUCUCCAUCUCUAAGGACGUAUUUGAACUUGGGUUAACUUUUCUAGUUCAGUUCCUCUGGAAACAUGAUAAAGUAAAAUGUCAGCUUGUUAGUAGGCAACAUUUCUUAUGGUAAAAAUAAGUCUCUAGUGGAAAUCUUAGCUUUGGGCUUCCAUGAAUGUGGUAACAUUUGAAACUGGAUAUUUCGUUUGUGAGGACUCUGGAAGCUGUCCAAGAUUGUUUAUAAGAAAUACUGAUUACUCUGUCAGACAUGAGACUUCAAAGUUGGUGGUUCCUAUACUCUCCUAGAAGAAUUCUGGUUCCCUUGUACCUAAAUGUCACUUGAAGAAUAAAGAUAACAGCUAUUGGAUGGUUGUAUGAAUUGCUAAGAUGACUGGUCCCGCUGAAGAAAGCCUGAUGUUCCUCCACCAAAUACUGAGUUUCCUAUUCAAUCAAUAUAUUUCUAAGUAAAUUGGUACAAAGCAUAGUAUAUUCUUUUCUUGUAAGAUUGAUGUUUAGUUAGGAGAACCCCUGGUGGGCACUCCAGCAUGUAUUAGAUGGUCAAUAAAUAUUUUCUGAACAAAUGCAUGAGGUUGGAAAUGUAUGACAUUAUAUAAUUAUGUGCAAUUAUAUAAUUAUUGAAUGGUAUUACCUAAAUUUUGAUAUGCUUACUUUGUUGAAAUUAAUAAAUGAUUAUACCAGCAAAAAAACAAAACAAAACAAAAACCUGGUGUUGCUGUGGCUGUGGCUUACGCCAGCAACUGCAGCUCCCAUUCAGCCUCUAACCUGGGAACUUCCUUUUUUUUUUUUUUCUUUUUUUGUCUUUUUGCUAUUUCUUGGGCUACUCCCACGGCAUAUGGAGGUUUUACUGGGCGUUCCCAUCGUGGCUUAGCGGAAACGAAUCUGACUAGCAUCCGUGAGGACGCGGGUUCAAUCCUUGGCCUUGCUGAGUGCGUUAGGGAUCCGGCAUUGCCCUGGGCUGUGGUGUAGAUGGAAGAGGUGGCUGGGAUCUGGUGUUGCUGUGGCAUAGGCCAGCGGCUACAGCUCCGAUUCGACCCCCAGCCUGGGAACCUUCAUAUGCCCUAAAAAGAUGCGGCCCUAAAAAGCAAAAAAAAAAAAAAAAAAAAAAAA
rnacentral:lncRNA from 1 species